AUAAUAUAUAUAUAUAUAUUUGGGGGGCUUUACAAUUCACACAACUGGUCCAAAACUACACUAUGUCCCUGAUGUGCAAUUAGGGCAAAGUUACAAUAACCAAGAGUAAUGUUAAUCUUGUUCAUUUAAGUGCCUUUAACUACUAUAAAUACCCAAUUUAUUCAGUUGGUUUAUUAAUUGUUACA